UGUAGCUCAGUGGUAGAGCGCGC
rnacentral:piRNA from 1 species